AUUGAACGCUGGCGGAAUGCUUUACACAUGCAAGUCGAACGAUGAACCUUAGCUUGCUCCGGGGAUUAGUGGCGAACGGGUGAGUAAUAUAUCGGAACGUGCCUUGUAAUGGGGGAUAACUAGUCGAAAGAUUAGCUAAUACCGCAUACGCCCUGAGGGGGAAAGUAGGGGAUCUUCGGACCUUACGUUAUAAGAGCGGCCGAUAUCUGAUUAGCUAGUUGGUGGGGUAAUGGCCUACCAAGGCGACGAUCAGUAGCUGGUCUGAGAGGACGACCAGCCACACUGGAACUGAGACACGGUCCAGACUCCUACGGGAGGCAGCAGUGGGGAAUUUUGGACAAUGGGCGCAAGCCUGAUCCAGCCAUUCCGCGUGAGUGAAGAAGGCCUUCGGGUUGUAAAGCUCUUUCGCAAGGGAAGAAAACCUACCAUCGAAUAAAUGGUGAGGCUGACGGUACCUUGAGAAGAAGCACCGGCUAACUACGUG
rnacentral:rRNA from 1 species